CAGUUCUGGAAGGCACUGUGCAGGCUUCUGGGAGAGGUUUACCCAGCACAGGACCAGGCAAACAUGUGCUCACUGGAGAAGUGUUGCUCUGACAAUUAUUGCAAUAACCAACCAUUUUCUGAUUGGAUUUGAGGGAGGCCUGCUCCACAGGAAGGACUUCAUGCCUGGUACUGUGAAUCUGAUCCUCCUGGAAGGAAAAAGAUACUUGUCGACAUUCCUUCUCCUUGCUGCGAUUAACAUCAGAUGUCUGACCACAAGGAAGCUGAAAGAACUCGGGAGCUGCUUCAGGACCUGUGAGAUGGUUUGGCAGAUAUAAACUGCUUCCUUGUGCAUCUACCUGAAUAUUGGUCAAGGCACAUACAAAGGCAUGAGAGAAGGAAUCAAGAAUCUUUCUGAAAAAAGGAAAAAAAAAACUAACCAUGGGAGAUUUUAUGAGGCCAUUUCUUACAUUCAUGCACAAGACUCCGGUUUGAAUGUCAGUCUGCAGAAGAGUUCUUGCAAGAUGUCUCUUUGCAGACAGCACUUUAGUGACUUGACAGGACGGCUGUGGGGGAGAAGCCUGUGGUGGCUUGUCCAGCCGAGCACAUACAUUUUUGCUCUUCCCAUUGAGUUUAGGGAAGUCAGACUACACCUCAAGUCAGUUUUUACUUUCUUUGUCUCAAUCUUCGCUGCAUGUAGGAAUUGAAAGGAACAAAUUAUAUUUAUUUCAAGUGGAACACAGAACACAAAACUGAAAACGACUCAUUAAAACCUACCAGUAAGACGACUUAUGAUAUUGGUGACUAUGACCUCCUCUUGUAACGCUCAGAAGAAUAAAGAGUGUCUGUCCUUUACAAGUAAGAAACCAUACCUAUGUCCAUAUGUCCCAUACUGUGGUGGUGUUCUCACUACAAAUACGCUACCUGUUACAUACUGAACAUUUUCUGACCCAGACAUCUAUAAUUAGAUAAUCCAUUAGCAAAUUAUGGGCUGUUACAAUGAAAUUGCAUUCAGCAAUUAAAAAAUAAAUAAGCCAUUCAUAUGCACAGCACAUCUUGACACAUAUCAAAAAUAAUUCUUAGUGAAAAGAGGAUUUACCCAGAAAAGUGCAUAUUGCAUUGAUCCAUUAGAAUGCAAUUCUAGAACAGGCAACAUUCUUGUAUGGUAGGGGUAAAAAAUCGGAGCAGUGAUUGUGUGGCCAGAUGGAGCUGGGACUGGGGUUGGAGCACAAGAACUUUCCAGAUGGUUAAGAUGUUCUGUAUCUUGACAAGAGUGUGUCAAUUCUCUUCUAAGUAUUCUGUUUAAAUUCUCAUCUUUGGAGCCUGGGGAGAUGGCUCAGGGUUUAGUUUACUGCUGCUGACGAGGACCAGAGUUGGGUUCUCAGCAUCUGCAUCCGCUGGCUCACAACUGCCAGCAGUGCAAGCUCCAGAGGGACUGAUGCCCUCUUCUGGCCUCCUUGAGCACCUGCAUAUGUGUGUACACAGGAAACGUACAAAAAUUUGUUUUUUAAAUUGUGUGUCUCACAUAUGUAAAUUAUAUAUGUAUAUACAUUUGUAUAUGUGUGUAUAUAUGUACACACACAUACUAUAAAUACUGAAAAUGUUUGAGGAAAGAAAACUCUUAUAUACCUCCUAUAUUUACAAACAGUAAAAAUGGAUUAGCUGAUUUGUGAACACAGAACUACACAAAUGGGUAUGUGAUACAACAACUAUAAUAAAAAUUAAUUCUAGAC